rnacentral:tRNA from 1 species
GGGUUUGUGGCUUGGUAGUAGAGCGCUCGCCUAGCAUGUGAGAGGCCCUGGGUUUGAUCCUCAGCACCA